GUAGCCUCUGUUCCUGUGUGCGUGUGUGCUGUCUCAGUAGGUUGUUCUCCUCUUGCAGACGGAAACACUGGUCCUCCAGCUGCUCCCUGGGCACCUGGAACACCCUCUGACGGUCUGAUGGAGAGGAGGAAGAAAAAGAGGGAAGAAGGAGAGGGAAAAUAAGGGAAUGGAACAGAGCCCUCCUCUCAACAGCCCUACGUCCCUCACUGGUAGAUCUCCGGCUGUCUCGUCCACUGUCAGAGACAUGAUUGGUCCUAAUGAAGGUUCAGCCAAUCACCAUGCUUAUUUCUAUGGAGAUGGGGCUCUGGUGGUGAUGUCAUCACAGAGGAUGGGACUGACAUCACACGUAGUGGUACAAACCCACCUCGACCUCCCAGUAGUGCCUCCCGGUGGCAAAGCCGUCCUUGGCAAGGACACAGGGUGCCGUGUCGAAUCGUUGAGGGCCGUUCAGGAGGCUCGGCUCCAUGUCCCCGUCCCAGACUUGCUUACCAUCUUCAGACACGACCAGCCAGGGGUUGGCAGUGCUCGGGUCCAGGGAUACGUCAACUUUGAGGAGACAGAAAAUAAAUAAGAAAACAAAAUGUUAUUGUCCAUUUUUUUCUUUGGUGCUCUAAUUUACAGGGUCAAAAGGUAACAACAGGCAUAUAACAUUAAACACAUUGAACAUU